rnacentral:rRNA from 1 species
AACGACCUCUGGCGGCGUGGAUAAGACAUGCAAGUCGAACGAGAGAAUUGCUAGCUUGCUAAUAAUUCUCUAGUGGCGCACGGGUGAGUAACACGUGAGUAACCUGCCCCCGAGAGCGGGAUAGCCCUGGGAAACUGGGAUUAAUACCGCAUAGUAUCGAAAGAUUAAAGCAGCAAUGCGCUUGGGGAUGGGCUCGCGGCCUAUUAGUUAGUUGGUGAGGUAACGGCUCACCAAGGCGAUGACGGGUAGCCGGUCUGAGAGGAUGUCCGGCCACACUGGAACUGAGACACGGUCCAGACACCUACGGGUGGCAGCAGUCGAGAAUCAUUCACAAUGGGGGAAACCCUGAUGGGUGCGACGCCGCGUGGGGGAAUGAAGGUCUUCGGAUUGUAAACCCCUGUCAUGUGGGAGCAAAUUAAAAAGAUAGUACCACAAGAGGAAGAGACGGCUAACUCUGUGCCAGCAGCCGCGGUAAUACAGAGGUCUCAAGCGUUGUUCGGAAUCACUGGGCGUAAAGCGUGCGUAGGCUGUUUCGUAAGUCGUGUGUGAAAGGCGCGGGCUCAACCCGCGGACGGCACAUGAUACUGCGAGACUAGAGUAAUGGAGGGGGAACCGGAAUUCUCGGUGUAGCAGUGAAAUGCGUAGAUAUCGAGAGGAACACUCGUGGCGAAGGCGGGUUCCUGGACAUUAACUGACGCUGAGGCACGAAGGCCAGGGGAGCGAAAAAAAGUAGAUACCCCUGUAGUCCUGGCAGUAAACGG